rnacentral:rRNA from 1 species
AUACGGGGGGUGCAAGCGUUGUUCGGAAUUAUUGGGCGUAAAGCGCGUGUAGGCGGUUUGUUAAGUCUGAUGUGAAAGCCCUGGGCUCGAACCCAGGAAGUGCAUUGGAAACUGGCAGACUUGAAUACGGGAGAGGGUAGUGGAAUUCCUGGUGUAGGAGUGAAAUCCGUGGAUAUCAGGAGGAACACCGGUGCGAAGGCGGCUGCCUGGACCGAUAUUGACGCUGAGACGCGAAAGCGUGGGUAGC